GUCAGCAUGGUGCAGUGGUUUGAGUGUCAGACUGUAACUCUGAGAACCAGGGUUUGAAUCCCAGCUCAGUCA